rnacentral:sRNA from 1 species
CACCGAUCAAAUUCUUCUCACCAAUUACCAUUCACUAGAUAAUGAUAUGAACAAAAUUAUGAUAGAAAACAAACACACCAUUCAACGUUCAAACCAAACCCUUGACCCUCCCAUGUUGUAUAUAUGAACAUGCUUGUUUUCUAAGCAGCUGUUAUGUCUUUUUCUUCUCAACUAUGAUGCGUAAUAUAAUAAUGCAAGUAAUGGUGAACCACGUGCUUAAAGUAUGUUCAUUGGUUUUCAUAUAUUAGCCUGACCCAACUCUCCAAAAUCAUUACUACUCUUAUUACUGCAUCUCACACUAUAGUUCUUGCUGAAACCACUCUCAGUUUCUGAUGAAGAACAUCAGGAAGUUGCUGUUCUCGUCUUCUGAUUCAGCUUUCACAAGUGAAAGCAACAAGACUCAGACCAAGAAAGCUGUGGAGCCAAGCUUGAGGAAAGCACCAUCAAGUGUGCCAAAUCCAACACAGAACAAGUAGGAUUUGACUUUUCUUCUCGAGAUCUAAUCAAUCAAGAAUCCAUUGUUGGUUUAUCUCAUUUCAUAUCUUUCCUUUUAUUUCCUCUUUUUACUAUGUUACACAUCUUUCUUCCUUAAGG